AAUGGCAAAAUAAAAGGCCUGACAUCAAAGAAGGUGAUGUUGUCCUUCUGAAGGAAAAGCAAGUCAGGAGGAAUGAGUGGCCUAUGGGAAUAAUAAUGAAGGCUGUUCCUAGCAAAGAUGGAUUAAUAAGGAAGGUCGAGAUAAAGAUAGUUCAGCAAGGAGCAACAAAAAUCCUUUACAGGCCUAUUUCAGAACUGGUUUUUCUUUUAUCACCAGAUUAAAGUAUUUGGCUCAGUUUUUGGUGGUAUCUUAAAGAUACCAGACGGGGAGUGUUCUGGUUCUAAUUGUUUUUGCAAACCUUUGUAAUCCUAAUAUAAAAAUCCUAAUGCUACUGCUGCAAGCAGGAAGCCAUGUGACAGGAGGCAGGAAGUAGGAAGUGAGUGCAGCAGCAGUAAGCAUGGUGUGUUUAUUACCUCUGUGUUUGUACUCUCAAACAAUCCUUCGCCAUCCUGCUUAGUUAGCCCUUGUGAAGGCAUUCCCUGGAUCAUGAAAGCUUCUAGACAUUGUCAAGGGGGCUGGAAAGACAUACCAACAAAGGAGCAAAAGAAACAUCAAAAAGGUGCUGCAAGGUUUUGAAGGAACAGAAGUGUGAUGUUUUCGAAGAAGCAUACAGGGGAUAUUCAUCAUUCAUCAUUUAGUACAGAAAAGACGAAGCACCGCCACCAUAAUCCUACCCGGACACCUAAGAGAACAACACUUCUGGGUCCCUUUCUCUCCUCUGGUCCUCCACUGAUGAUGUCUACUACCCAUCUACCACCACGCCUUCCCAGAAUUCCACAUUCUUAAUUUCCGGUCUGGCUCUUUAAAAUGUCUGUACACCUAUCCCUUUUUGUCUGAUGAUUUGUUACAAUUAUUUUGACCUUUUGCUUUACAGUAUACGGGGCUAAA